AGAUUGAACGCUGGCGGCAGGCCUAACACAUGCAAGUCGAGCGGCAGCACGGGUACUUGUACCUGGUGGCGAGCGGCGGACGGGUGAGUAAUGCCUAGGAAUCUGCCUGGUAGUGGGGGAUAACGCUCGGAGACGGACGCUAAUACCGCAUACGUCCUACGGGAGAAAGCAGGGGACCUUCGGGCCUUGCGCUAUCAGAUGAGCCUAGGUCGGAUUAGCUAGUUGGUGAGGUAAUGGCUCACCAAGGCGACGAUCCGUAACUGGUCUGAGAGGAUGAUCAGUCACACUGGAACUGAGACACGGUCCAGACUCCUACGGGAGCAGCAGGUGGGAAUAUGGACAAGUGGGCGAAAGCCUGACUCCAGCCAUGCCGCGUGUGUGAAGUAAGGUCUUCGGAUUUGAAAGCUAACGUUUUAAGUUGGGAAGGUAACGGGUCAAGUUACCGUAAUUACGUAUACGUUGUUUUAGACGUUUACGACAGUAAACUAGCCACGGCUAACUC
rnacentral:rRNA from 1 species